rnacentral:rRNA from 1 species
AUACGGAGGGUGCGAGCGUUGUUCGGAAUUAUUGGGCGUAAAGAGCAUGUAGGCGGUCUGUUAAGUCUGGUGUGAAAGCCCGGGGUUCAACCCCGGAAGUGCAUUGGAUACUGGCAGACUUGAGUAUGGGAGAGGAAAGCGGAAUUCCGAGUGUAGGAGUGAAAUCCGUAGAUAUUCGGAGGAACACCAGUGGCGAAGGCGGCUUUCUGGACCAAUACUGACGCUGAGAUGCGAAAGCGUGGGGAGCAAACAGGAUUAGAAACCCGAGUAGUCC